rnacentral:ncRNA from 1 species
GGGAACGGGCUUGGCGGAAUCAGCGGGGAAAGAAGACCCUGUUGAGCUUGACUCUAGUCCGACUUUGUGAAAUGACUUGAGAGGGUGAGGAUAAGUGGGAGCCCUUACGGGCGCAAGUGAAAUACCACUACUUUUAACGUUAUUUUACUUAUUCCGUGGGUCGGAAGCGGGGCAUGNCCCCUCCUUUUGGCUCCAAGGCCCGGUUUU